rnacentral:rRNA from 1 species
GAUGAACGCUGGCGGCGUGCCUAAUACAUGCAAGUCGAGCGAACAGACGAGGAGCUUGCUCCUCUGACGUUAGCGGCGGACGGGUGGGUAACACGUGGAUAACCUACCUAUAAGACUGGGAUAACUUCGGGAAGCCGGAGCUAAUACCGGAUAAUAUAUUGAACCGCAUGGUUCAAUAGUGAAAGACGGUUUUGCUGUCACUUAUAGAUGGAUCCGCGCCGCAUUAGCUAGUUGGUAAGGUAACGGCUUACCAAGGCAACGAUGCGUAGCCGACCUGAGAGGGUGAUCGGCCACACUGGAACUGAGACACGGUCCAGACUCCUACGGGAGGCAGCAGUAGGGAAUCUUCCGCAAUGGGCGAAAGCUUGACGGAGCAACGCCGCGUGAGUGAUGAAGGUCUUCGGAUCGUAAAACUCUGUUAUUAGGGAAGAACAAAUGUGUAAGUAACUAUGCACGUCUUGACGGUACCUAAUCAGAAAGCCACGGCUAACUACGUG